rnacentral:rRNA from 1 species
AUUGAACGCUGGCGGCAGGCCUAACACAUGCAAGUCGAACGAGUGGCGGACGGGUGAGUAAUGUCUUGAAAACUGCCUGAUGGAGGGGGAUAACUACUGGAAACGGUAGCUAAUACUUCAUACCAUCGGAUGUGCCCAGAUGGGAUGAGCUAGUAGGUGGGGUAAAGGUUCACCUAGGCGACGAUCCCUAGCUGGUCUGCGCGGAUGACCAGCCACACGGGAACUGAGACACGGUCCAGACUCCUAGUGGAGGCAGCAGUGGGGAAGAUUGCACAAUGGCCGCAAGCCUGAUGCAGCCAUGCCGCGUGUAUGAAGAAGGCCUCGGGUUGUAAAGUACUUUCAGCGGGGAGGCGUUACCCGAAGAAGAAGCACCGGCUAACUCCGUGCCAGCAGCCGCGGUAAUUC